rnacentral:rRNA from 1 species
UACAGAGGUCUCAAGCGUUGUUCGGAUUCAUUGGGCGUAAAGGGUGCGUAGGCGGCCAACUAAGUCGGACGUGAAAUCCCUCGGCUUAACCGGGGAACUGCGUCCGAUACUGGAUGGCUUGAGUUUGGGAGAGGGAUGCGGAAUUCCAGGUGUAGCGGUGAAAUGCGUAGAUAUCUGGAGGAACACCGGUGGCGAAGGCGGCAUCCUGGACCAACACUGACGCUGAUGAGCGAAAGCCAGGGGAGCAAACGGG